rnacentral:rRNA from 1 species
UACGAAGGGGGCUAGCGUUGUUCGGAAUUACUGGGCGUAAAGCGCGCGCAGGCGGUUUCUCAAGUCAGUGGUGAAAGCCCGGAGCUCAACUCCGGAACUGCCAUUGAAACUGUGAAACUUGAGGACGAGAGAGGUGAGUGGAAUUCCCAGUGUAGAGGUGAAAUUCGUAGAUAUUGGGAAGAACACCGGUGGCGAAGGCGGCUCACUGGCUCGUUUCUGACGCUCAGGCGCGACAGCGUGGGGAUCAAACAGGAUUAGAUACCCUGGUAGUCCACGCCGUAAACGAUGAACGCUAGCCGUUGGGUAGCUUGCUAUUCAGUGGCGCAGCUAACGCAUUAAGCGUUCCGCCUGGGGAGUACGGCCGCAAGGUUGAA